rnacentral:tRNA from 1 species
GGAGAGUACAGCUCAGUGAUAGAGUGUGAGCUUAGCAUGCACAAAGUCCUGGGUUCAAUCCCCAGUACCUCCA